AUUGAACGCUGGCGGCAGGCCUAACACAUGCAAGUCGAACGAGUGGCGGACGGGUGAGUAAUGUCUGGGAACCUGCCUGAUGGAGGGGGAUAACUACUGGAAACGGUAGCUAAUAACGCCUACCAUCGGAUGUGCCCAGAGGGGAUUAGCUAGUAGGUGGGGUAAAGGCUCACCUAGGCGACGAUCCCUAGCUGGUCUGAGAGGAUGAUCAGCCAAACUGGGACUGAGACACGGCCCAGACUCCUACGGGAGGCAGAAGUGGGGAAUAUUGCACAAUGGGCGAAAGCCUGAUGCAGCCAUGCCGCGUGUAUGAAGAAGGCCCUAGGGUUGUAAAGUACUUUCAGUCGGGAGGCGUUACCGAAAGAAGAAGCACCGGCUAACUCCGUGCCAGCCGCCGCGGUAAUUC
rnacentral:rRNA from 1 species